GGGAGCCGAAGGGAAACCGAGUCUUAACUGGGCGAGUAGUUGCAAGGUAUAGACCCGAAACCCGGUGAUCUAGCCAUGGGCAGGUUGAAGGUUGGGUAACACUAACUGGAGGACCGAACCGACUAAUGUUGAAAAAUUAGCGGAUGACUUGUGGCUGGGGGUGAAAGGCCAAUCAAACCGGGAGAUAGCUGGUUCUCCCCGAAAUCUAUUUAGGUAGAGCCUUGAGGUGACACCUUUGGGGGUAGAGCACUGUUUCGGCUAGGGGUCCAUCCCGGAUUACCAACCCGAUGCAAACUACGAAUACCAAAGAGUGAUACUCAGGAGACACACGGCGGGUGCUAACGUCCGUCGUGGAGAGGGAAACAACCCAGACCGCCAGCUAAGGUCCCCAAGUCUAUAUUAAGUGGGAAACGAAGUGGGAAGGCUUAGACAGCUAGGAUGUUGGCUUAGAAGCAGCCAUCAUUUAAAGAAAGCGUAAUAGCUCACUAGUCGAGUCGGCCUGCGCGGAAGAUGUAACGGGGCUGAAAUAUAGCACCGAAGCUGCGGCAUCAGGCGUAUCACUAAUACGCCUUACGAUUAACAAGCUAGAAUGGCGCGAAGCGACAUGAAAGGUUGUUCAAGCAACCCGAACGUUGAGUCGGGUAUCUUAGAGUGAGGAUGAUUAGUGAUACGCCUGUUGGGUAGGGGAGCGUUGUGUAAGCGGAAGAAGGUUCAUCGAGAGGUGGGCUGGACGUAUCACAAGUGCGAAUGCUGACAUAAGUAACGAUAAAACGGGUGAAAAACCCGUUCGCCGGAAGACCAAGGGUUCCUGUCCAACGUUAAUCGGGGCAGGGUGAGUCGGCUCCUAAGGCGAGGCUGAAAAGCGUAGUCGAUGGGAAACAGGUUAAUAUUCCUGUACUUGGUAAAGCUGCGAUGUGGGGACGGAGUAGGUUAGGUUAUCGCACUGUUGGAUAUGUGCGUUUAAGUUGGUAGGUGGGAAGUUUAGGCAAAUCCGGACUUCCUUAACACAGAGAGAUGAUGACGAGGCUCUACGGAGCUGAAGUAACUGAUACCACACUUCCAGGAAAAGCCACUAAGCGAAAGGCUUUACUAAACCGUACUGAAAACCGACACAGGUGGUCAGGUAGAGAAUACUCAGGCGCUUGAGAGAACUCGGGUGAAGGAACUAGGCAAAAUAGCACCGUAACUUCGGGAGAAGGUGCGCCGGCGUAGAUUGUAGUCCCUAGCGGGCGAAGGUUGAACCGGUCGAAGAUACCAGCUGGCUGCAACUGUUUAUUAAAAACACAGCACUCUGCAAACACGAAAGUGGACGUAUAGGGUGUGAUGCCUGCCCGGUGCUGGAAGGUUAAUUGAUGGUGUCAUCGCAAGAGAAGCACCUGAUCGAAGCCCCAGUAAACGGCGGCCGUAACUAUAACGGUCCUAAGGUAGCGAAAUUCCUUGUCGGGUAAGUUCCGACCUGCACGAAUGGCAUAAUGAUGGCCAGGCUGUCUCCACCCGAGACUCAGUGAAAUUGAAAUCGCCGUGAAGAUGCGGUGUACCCGCGGCUAGACGGAAAGACCCCGUGAACCUUUACUAUAGCUUGACACUGAACAUUGAAUUUUGAUGUGUAGGAUAGGUGGGAGACUUAGAAGUAGGAACGCCAGUUUCUAUGGAGUCAUCCUUGAAAUACCACCCUUUAACGUUUGAUGUUCUAACGAAGAUGACGAAACGCGGUCUCGGACAGUGUCUGGUGGGUAGUUUGACUGGGGCGGUCUCCUCCCAAAGCGUAACGGAGGAGCACGAAGGUUUGCUAAU
rnacentral:rRNA from 1 species